rnacentral:lncRNA from 1 species
UUUGUUCACUAUAGUUGGAUGCAGAGCAUGACCUUUGUUAGCUGGAGUAGCCUUUUGAGUUGAUCUGAACGAUGUUUACAAGCUGCAUUUUUCAGAGUCCAGGAAUAUAUGAAAUUUUAGAAUUGCAAAACUUAUUUUUCCCUGAGAGGGUUAGAUAUUCGUCUUGUAGCAUGCACUAUCAUGUUUGCUGUGCAAAUAGGCAUUUGGUUUUUUUGGUUAUCUUACCUUGUGUUCCAUACAAUUAUCUGAUUUUUUUUGUUAUCUUGCCUUGUGUUCUUUACAAAUAUCGUUUCGUUAAGUUUUGUUGAUAAAUUUGUUUAUUGUGAUCUCCUUAAGUUCAUUCCAAAGGCUAAGGGUGAUGAUACUGCGUGGCUCAUGCAAACAUUCACAUACUGUGUGGGCAGUAAAAACGGCUCGCGGCCGACAUGAAGAAUUUUACACCGAUGCUUAACACUUCAACUGAUAGACAUAAAACCCACGUGUGCUAGACAUCGAGGUGGCAGUGCUGAAACACUGGUGGUUGCAAUGUGAAAUCGUGAAUUCCCCUGGGCGACCGUACAAAGAAAUGGACGGCUAGGUUACGAACAGCUAAUGCUACUUGCAGCCAUUGGCGUUUCUGGUUCCAAGCAGUCCAAGUACUUCCAACUUAAUAACGUGAGUUUUCUUAUCAGAUAGAAAGAGAACGUGAGUUUAGUUCAGCUGCCACGACACCUAAAUGACGCCCCAAAAAAGCCGAGAUUUUUCACUUGGACCUGGAAGAAUUUCUGAUAUUUCUUCCCUCACCUCCAGGAGCUAGGAGCUAGGAGCCAGGACCUGGGCGGCUGAGCUUCCUGGUGCGUUUGGUUGGUGGAACGAGGGGAGAUCAGUAGAGCGGUUUCAUUUUUAGAUAUGUUUGGUUGAAAAACGGUGGAGCCGCUCCCGCAGAGGAUCCGGAACGAGACCGCUCGAACCCCGCGGCCCAUCACCGCCCGCCCCUCUCCCCUCUGCAGGUGAGUGACCGGGCUCUCCCUCCCCUCCGCCGCGCGGCGCCGCCCCCCGCCCCCCGCGCCGGCGCCCCCCCCCCCCCCCCCCCCGGCGGAUCUGCCGCCUACAGCAACCCCCACCCCCGCGGCGGAUCUGCGCCCGCGCCCGCGCCGUGCGGCCCCCCCACGGCGACGCCCCUGGAGCCCCCCCGCGCCCGCGCCCGCGCCGUGCGGUGGCGCCACCCCUGGAGCCCCCCGCCCGCCCGCGCCCUGCCCCCCCCCCCCCCCCCCGGGGCGCCGCCCCUGGCUUGCGCGGCGGCCUGGAGCCCCCCGCGGCGGCUGGAGCUCCCCCGCGCCCGCGCCGUGCGGCGGCGCCGCCCCUGGAGCGCCCCCCCCCUCCCGCCCGCCCGCGCCCUGGAGCCCCCGCCCCCCGCCGCCCCCCCCCCCCCCGGGCGCCGCCCCUGGCUUGCGCGGCGGCCUGGAGCCCCAUCCCCCCCGGCGCGCCGCCCUGCCGCCGCCGCCUGGCUUCGCCCUGUUCUUGUUGAUCUUGAUCUGUCAGUGAUAUUUGUCUCUGAUUUUGGCAGCUCAGUGAUCUUUGUCUCUGAUUUUGGCAGCUCGCAGGAGAAAUUUGGCUGGAGGAACGAAGGCAGCGUACACGCCUCGGAAGGUAGAAGGUUACGUCUAUUGAAUAUAUGCUUUGUGUGAUUACUUGUUACGCCUUAAAAAUUUAUUGAUUUUAUCUUGUUUCUGUAUAAUUUAGAUGGAUAAGAAGCAGCAACUUUUCAUUUAUAGCUACUGCAACUCUGCUUGCAACUCCGUCUAGGUCGCCCCUACCCCAAGGCCCCAACCCCACCCCGACCUCUCUUCUUCGGCGAGACAAUCCCCACGCAACCGCGCACCGGGAGCCGGAACAAGCGGAGGGGGAGAAAAAUCUGCGCUCGUCCGCCUCGCCUCGCCUCGCCAGUGUGCUCGCCUACUUAUACACUCCGCUCGCUCGCUCCCUCCAUCCCUUGGCUACUCGGCCUUGCUUCCUUCCCCUCUCCCACACCUCCCGGCUCCGGCUCCGGUCCACACACACAGGUGCGUGCGCGUCUUUGAUUCCGCAAUUCCGCGUGUGCGUUUUGGUGAUUGAUUCUAGCACCAGGUUGCUUGAAUCGAGCCUGGUGGUUGCUUGAAUCGAGCCUGGUGUUAUGAGGGAUUGGGGUUCUCAAGCUGCUUUUGCGUUGCUUGAUUGUUGGGUCCGCCGGCGGCGGGGGGGGGGGGGGGAGGACGCCGCGCGGGGGCGAGGGGGAGAGGGGCGGUCACCUGGAUCUGGCGGCGGCGGCCGGGGCGGGCGGCGUCGGGGGGGGGGGGUGGGUGGGUGAGGGGAACGGUGCCCUAUCUCGCGCGUGCCAAACACGCAGAAAAAAGAGCGGAGCGGCUCCAUUCCGAUUGCUCCCCAACCAAACACACACUCUUAGGAUUGUAACUAUAAUUGCAACUAUGGGGCUGUUUGGGGCAGCUUCUGAACCAGCUUCUGAGCAAUUUUAAGCCGCGAGCUGGCCAAACGCUCCGCUUCUUGGGCGCUUCCCACACCAGCGCUUGCGGGCCUCCUUCAGAAAACGAGUGUUCCACCAGCAGCAGGGGCGGACCAGUUUCUGCAGCUUAUGCGGUCUAACUCCCCUCAAACUUCAUCAAAAUUACCCGCGUUUGCCAUCAUACAAAUAGGGCUGCCCCUCUCCACCCGUCUCUCUUCCCCAAUCCAAUUUUUCUCCCGUGCCCGUGACUGAAGAUGGCGAGGAGCUAGGGUUAGGAGAACCCCGGCGGCCUGACCCCGCGCCGACCUCCGGCGAGUUCCUAGCCGACCACCGGCGAGCUGCCGGCCUUCCUGCUCCGAUCUGCGCCGAGCCAGCGCCGCCCCCUGCUCCGGUCUGCGUCGAGCCAGCGCCGCCCCCUGCUCUGGUCUGCGCCGAGGCUCGCCGCCCCCUGCUUCGUCGACGAGCCAGUGCCGCCCCCUGAUCCGGUCUGCGCCGAGGCCAGCCGCCCCCUGCUCCGUCGUAGCUCCGUCAGAGUUCCGGCCAUCCAACCAGCAAUCACCUUUGUUCCUGGUAAUUGCUCGACGAUUCCUUUAUUUCUGCAUAAGAUAGACGCAAACAUACGACCCAGCUAGCCUAUUCGGUGAUCUGAUUCAAAUAAACAGUGUGAUUCUUUUAGCAUAUCUAGGCUUGAAAGGAUUUUGUUGUGCCAAUCUGGACUGGAACCAUGCCUGAUCUGCAAGACUGCAACAUAGGCACUCCUUCAAAGUUCUGUUGCCUAUUUUCUUUUUUGUGAUUUAGUGAUAUAGCUGUUCACACAUCUAAAAAGAAUCAGUAUAUAUGUUAGUACUCAAGGGUUAUGAUGAUAAUUAGUAGAAAUUUUUCUCAUAUGUGCUCAUAUAUUGCUAGAUUGGUACCUGCAUUUAGGUCGGCUGGGAACUCGCCGGAGGUCGGCGCGGGGUCAGGCUGCCGGGGUUCUCCCAACCCUAGCUCCUCGCCAUCUUCAGUCACGGGCACGGGAGAAAAAUUGGAUUGGGGAAGAGAGACGGGUGGAGAGGGGCAGCCCUAUUUGUAUGAUGGCAAACGCGGGUAAUUUUGAUGAAGUUUGAGGGGAGUUAGACCGCAUAAGUUGCAGAAGCUGGUCCGCCCCCGCUACUGGUGGAACACUCGUUUUCUGAAGAAGGCCCGCAAGCGCUGGUGGGGGAAGCGCCCAAGAAGCGGAGCGUUUGGCCAGCCCGCGGCUUAAAAUUGCUCAGAAGCUGCCCCAAACAGGCCCAUAGUUGCAAUUAUAGUUACAAUCCUAAGAGUGUGUGUUUGGUUGGGGAGCAAUCGAAAUGGAGCUGCUCCGCUCUUUUUUCUGCGUGUUUGGCACGUGCGAGAUAGGGCACCGUUCCCCUCACCCCACCCCCCCCCCCCGACGCCGCCCGCCCCGGCCGUCGCCGCCAGAUCUAGGGCGCCCCAACUGCGCGUUCCUUAUUCUUUUGCCUAUUCUUUUCCUCUGUUGCUUGCCUUCGGCGUUCUCCGCUCCACUCUCGCCCUUUCUUUCCUAGCCGCGAGCCGGCGACGACGGGGCGAGCCCUUUGCCAGGUCUUCGCCGAGCGCUUCGUCGGCGACGAGCAUCCUCGACAGGUAUGCUCGCCUAUUCCCUUCCCUUGUUGCUGCGCGAAAUCAAACGCCCAAAAUCCUGAUGUUUGCUAUUCGUAUUCGGAUCUGACCAUGGGUUUACCUGAUAAACUUCGAGUUAGUUUUGCAAAAGUUAUCGUGGAAUUGGUCCGCUCUUGCAAACAAUCAUCACGCUUGCCAGUUUGGAACGGAGGGUUUCCAUACGAUUUCUACUACUUUUUGUGAAAUUCGUUGAGAAUUCUGGUGAAACACUGCUUUUCGUGGAAUGUUUAUCUAGUAUGUUUGGAACCAGAUGUGAACACAUGCGCUUGUUGUCCCCAUUUAUUUUGAAUUGAUGCGCUCCAUUUUGUUAACUCGAUGCUAUGAUGCCAAAACCAAGCAUUUAACUGGCUUAAAUAUGCCUUUUAGAGUUCUAGCAAAGAAGCAAAUGCUUUAAUUAUGCGCAGUUCAAGCUUUACUCGCCACAGUAUUUCAACCACUUCGCCUAUCCAGAUUCAAGUUUCACAAUAAUCUUUUCAGAACAAAUAUACUGUGUGUGUUUCCUCAGAUUAGUGACCUGGGGCCACCAUACUCAUCCGCACUACUAUUUGCAAAUAAUGGAUUAUUAUUUUAUUGCAUAUGAGGUACUAUCGAUUGCUUGUAAGAAAUAUAUAUUAUCUGGAUCAAUAUGUGUAAUACUGUAACGAUAUACUUAUCUUACAGGAACCCCAAUAAGUUUACUGCUUCCAUCAAGUGAGGAACUGCCUGUCUCCGAGAACUUAAUUGCUCCUGAUCUUCCGUGGCACAAGCAUCGUCUGAGAAAAUGCCACCAGUUUAUCUUUACAUCCCUAAUAUUAUUGGUAUCUUUCUGUUCCCAAACCCAUCUUUCAAUUAUUUGUAUUCUUGUCCUCUUCUUUAUAUCCCAAAGUAACUGGAUAAUACCAUUAGUGACUUGUGCAACUGGAAACAUUGCCUAUUUUCUGUCAUUGAUUUCGUACUUCAUUCUUGUUCUAGUAUCUAUAUCAGAAGCACCAUCUGUAUCGUAGUCUUGUUCCACUUUGUUGCCCUAGAAUAGCAACACAAAAGAAACCAGAAAUUUAAUAGCGUAUAUUCUUCAACCAACAAGGCAUAUGUGACUUAAAAUUCAGGAAUUGUCAUUGUGCAGGGUAUUUCAGGAUCAUCAUAAAUUUCAUAGCUUUUGCUGUUUGCUAUUCCAACAAGGCACUCUUUGCUAUCCUUUACUUCAUCAGGUGAGUCUCUUAGAUUUAUCUGCAGACCACUUGUGUUCAAUAUGCUAUGCAAAUGAUUUAAGUAUAUGGUUCUGACAUCCUUGCAAACAUGUCAGUUUUGUCCUUGACGGCGUGGAUGGCUGGUUUGCACGGAAGUUUAAUCAAGGUAACAGUUCAAAUUCCCCUUGUUUUGAAAUCAUGUAGCUUGUCCAUGUGUGAAGAAGGUUAAUUUCUGACUUCUUUGCUACGAUGAAAUCUCAUUGCACGGUAUGCUUAAGAACUUUCAAAUGGUUAUUAUGCUGAAACAGUGGUCUCAGCUAAAAUCUCCUUAUUCCUGUUAUUUUCCUAGUGUAUAAGCUAUCUGGUAAGUUAUGAAAUUACCUGAUCAGUUUAUCUCAUUGUAUGAAUCAGCAUCAACAUUUGGAGCUGUGUUGGACAUGGUUACAGAUAGGUACUCCUUGAAUAAAUCUUUGAACUCUGGAUAUGCAUUGUGAAUAAUUUCACAGCUCACAUGGCUCUUCUUCAGGGUUAGCACUGCUUGCUUGCUGGCCCUUCUCUCCCAAUUUUACAGGUACAGAAAGCAGAACCGCUUGUAUCGAUUUGUUUUGAACAUCAAUGCCGCUUAAAGAUUCUAAUUGCUAAUAUUUUUACAGGCCUGGCUUGGUCUUUUUGAUACUGCUUGGGUUGGAUAUUACAAGCCACUGGUUUCAAAUGUACAGGUCAGUUUUCUCUACCAUUUUGUUCAGUUCUUGCAAGUUCCCAGUUUGUCUUUCCAGUCAGCACCUAAACCUGUUCUCAAGUUAAUCGAGGGAACAUAAUAAAUUUGACUACCAAUUGCAUCUUCAAUAAUUGUCUAAUGCUUUUAUGAUGCAUGUGUUAUGUGCUGCUCAUUUGUUCAAGAGUUUCUUAUGUUCAACUUUGUUAGUUGCUAACUGUGUAAUGACAUAUUUUCUUUUCUAGUUCUUUCUUGUCAGGUAAGACUAGCCACAAGGAUGUAAAGCACACAGGCAAUUGGCUUCUGAAAUUAUAUUACGGGUACAGGCCAUUCAUGGCCUUCUGUUGUGUUUCUUGUGAGGUAUGUGAUCGUUCGUACAUUGCACUAUUUGCAAAUUCUAUGAUUGUGCUCUGCAGUUUCAAUUCAUGCAAAUGUUGAAAACAUGACAGUUGAGUGUUGUGUUGUGGACUAAGCAAUAUCACUACAGUCAGCACAUCCAUCAAGCUUUUACUCAGCUAACAAAAUAAUCUUAGUAUGUUUCACCCUCUGACCUAUUUCUUUUACCUAAUUUUACAGGUUUUAUAUAUUAUCCUCUUUCUCUUUGCUGAUGACAAGUCGACAAGCUUGCUUAGUGUAAGAUUGCAUCAUUUCCAUAUUUGCCCUUUUCAGUUGACAUCUGAAUCAUAUAGCAUAUGACAUUUCUAUAUCAACAUUUUAACAGGUAUGCGGAGGUAUCCUGAAUCAAAGCCCCCUCAUUGUCUUGAUGUUUGUUUCCACUCUAAUUGGCUGGGCAGUGAAACAAGUUACCAAUAUCAUUCAGGUAUUCACACUUGAACUUUCCUGCGAUCCCUUUCUAUUUGCACAUUUGCAUAUAUUUAGCUGGAAAAACUGUGGCAUCACAAGAGAUGUAGAUAGAUAAAAGGUGAAAAAUGGGGUACUGACGAUGCAGUAUUUGUACCUCGGUGUAGUCAGGUGUUCUGUGACUAAUCUUUGCCAUACUGUCACAUGUCAUCAUUCCAAAUUUUAGGUCUAUAUGGUGCUAGAACGGUCGCAUAUUCUACUGGGUUAUAAAGUGCGAUUGGUUAGUAAAUUCAAUAUGAAGCUCAAAAGUCUGACAACCAUGUCUUUUCCUGUGUACAGAUGAAAACUGCUGCAAACGCAUGUGUCGUGUAUGAUCUGAAGCGCAGCAAGUAAAGCGUGAAGGCACCCGUUUUGUUCAGUUUGUAUUGAUAUUAUCCAAGGAAAAAUCCCUUGAGGCUUGUACACCAUGAUUCAUACAUACAGUGGCUACUUCUUGUGUGCCUUGACAUCUUUCUGACUAUGCUUAUCCGUUGGGAUGAGAUGGCAACUUGCUGUGGGAAGAACAUAAAGAAAACAGAGGAGAUAAACGUUUUUCGGAGAAAGCAGAGGCUGUUAAGUUGUUUGUCAGUGUUUGUUCACUAUAGUUGGAUGCAGUGUUUGUUCACUAUAGUUGGAUGCAGAGCAUGACCUUUGUUUGGUGGAGUAGACUUUUGAGUUGAUCUGAACGAUGUUUACAAGCUGCAUUUUUCAGCGUCCAGGAAUAUAUGAAAUUUUAGAAUUGAAAACUUAUUUUUUCCUGAGAGGGUUAAAUAUUCGUCUUGUAGCAUGCACAAACAUGUUUGCUGUGCAAAUAGG